rnacentral:rRNA from 1 species
CUACCAUGGCUCUCACGGGUAACGGGGAAUUAGGGUUCGAUUCCGGAGAAGGAGCCUGAGAAACGGCUACUACAUCUACUGGAAGGCAGCAGGCGCGUAAAUUACCCAAUCCUGACUCAGGGAGGUAGUGACAAGAUAUAACGACGCGACUAAAAAUCGCGAUUGUAGUGAUGUUUUUUUAAAUGGAAAUUAAAGUACGAUUGGAGGGCAAGUCUGGUGCCAGCAGCCGCGGUAAUUCCAGCUCCAAUAGCGUAUAUUAAAGUUGUUGCAGUUAAAAAGCUCGUAGUUGGAUUUCAAGGAUCUCAGCGUGGAUACACGUUUGAAUCCUACCAGUCUUUGACUGUUACUGUGAGAAAAUUAGAGUGUUUCAAGCAGGCUGUUGCAGGAAUACAUUAGCAUGGAAUAACGAAUGUGUCUAGAAUCUUGGUUAAUUCUAGAGUACGAUUAAUAGGGACAGUUGGGGGCAUUAGUAUUUAAUUGUCAGAGGUGAAAUUCUUGGAUUUAUUAAAGACUAACGUAUGCGAAAGCAUUUGCCAAGGAUGUUUUCAUUAAUCAA